rnacentral:ncRNA from 1 species
UAAAAAUUAAGAUUUUAAAAAUUUAUUUUAAAUUUAUUUUACAUCCAAAUUUUAGUGUUAAUUAAUAAUUAUUUUAAUAAUAUUAUUUAUUGUAGUAAUUAAUAUUAAAAAUUUAAGAAAUUAAGAUUUAGUAAUAUUAAUAAUUUAAUAACAAAUUUUGUGCCAGCAGUUGCGGUUAUACAAAAAUUAAAUUAAAUUUUUUUAGUUAUAAUAAUUAAUUUAUUUUUAAAUUAAAAAUUAAAUUAUUAAGUGAAAUUUUAAUUUAUUAAUAAUUUAUUUAAUUAUUAUUUAAUAUUUAAUAAAUUUAUUUUAUAAACUAGGAUUAGAUACCCUAUUAUUAAAAAUUUAAAUAAAAAUACUAAAAUAGUAUAUAAUUAUUUAUUGAAACUUAAAUAAAUUGGCGGUAUUUUAGUUUAUUUAGAGGAAUCUGUUUAUUAAUUGAUAAUCCACGAAUAAAUUUACUUAAUUUAUUAUUUUGUAUAUCGUUGUUAAAAAAAUAUUUUUUUAUAAUUAAUAAUAUUUUAUAUUUAAAAUUUAAAGUUAAAUCAAAUCAAGAUGCAGAUUAUAAUUAAGAAUAUAAUGGAUUACAAUAAUUUUAAUUAAAUGAAUAUAAAUUUGAAAAAUUUAAUUGAAAGUGGAUUUAAAUGUAAUUUUAUUUAAGUAAGUAAAAUGAUUUAACAUUAAAAUAUGUACAUAUUGCCCGUCGCUUUCAUAUAUAAAUUGAAAUAAGUCGUAACAAAGUAGAGGUACUGGAAAGUGUUUCUAGAAAGAA